CGCGUAGGUAACCUGCCUGGUAGCGGGGGAUAACUAUUGGAAACGAUAGCUAAUACCGCAUAAUAUUAAUUAUUGCAUGAUAAUUAAUUGAAAGGUGCAAUUGCACCACUACCAGAUGGACCUGCGUUGUAUUAGCUAGUAGGUGAGGUAACGGCUCACCUAGGCGACGAUACAUAGCCGACCUGAGAGGGUGAUCGGCCACACUGGGACUGAGACACGGCCCAG
rnacentral:rRNA from 1 species